AUAACAGGGGUGCUGGUGCACAGUCGGCUGAGAUGGCGGUAUUCCGCCGAACCCUUAAACCUGAUGCGGAUAAUGCCGCCGUAGGAAGUCUGAAC
rnacentral:ncRNA from 1 species